rnacentral:rRNA from 1 species
CGCCCGUCGCUCCUACCGAUUGGAUGUGCUGGUGAGGUGUUCGGAUCAGCGGCGACCAACGGUUCCCGGUGGCCGUCGCGGAGAAGUUCAUCAAACCCUCCCAUCUAGAGGAAGGAGAAGUCGUAACAAGGUUUCC